rnacentral:rRNA from 1 species
GNNGAUUUGNUCAUGGAGGCAACUCUGAACCAGCCUGCCGCGUGCAGGAAGACUGCCCUAUGGGUUGUAAACUGCUUUUAUACAGGAAGAAACAGAACUACGUAGUAGUUCCUUGACGGUACUGUAAGAAUAAGCACCGGCUAACUCCGUGCCAGCAGCCGCGGUAAUACGGAGGGUGCAAGCGUUAUCCGGAAUCAUUGGGUUUAAAGGGUCCGCAGGCGGUCAAUUAAGUCAGAGGUGAAAUCCCAUAGCUUAACUAUGGAACUGCCUUUGAUACUGGUUGACUUGAGUUAUACGGAAGUAGAUAGAAUAAGUAGUGUAGCGGUGAAAUGCAUAGAUAUUACUUAGAAUACCGAUUGCGAAGGCAGUCUACUACGUAUAUACUGACGCUCAUGGACGAAAGCGUGGGGAAGCGAACAGGAUUAGAUUACCUCUGGUAGUCCACGCCGUAAACGAUGGACGUCUAGUUGUUGGGCUUNGNCCUCAGUGCCUAAGCNAAAUUGAUCAGUGUCCCACCUGGGGAGUGCGAUCGCAAUAUUGAUCCUCAAAGGAAUUGAGGGGGGCCCGCACAAGCGGGUGCGAUGCAUGUGGUUUAAUANGAUCAUACGCAACCAACCCUACCAGGGCUUUCAUGUAGAGGCCAGNGGUAUAGAUNCCUUUNUCUUNGGACACNNUNC